AGCGAACGCUGGCGGCAGGCCUAACACAUGCAAGUCGAACGAACCUUUCGGGGUUAGUGGCGGACGGGUGAGUAACACGUGGGAACGUGCCUUUAGGUUCGGAAUAACUCAGGGAAACUUGUGCUAAUACCGAAUGUGCCCUUCGGGGGGAAGAUUUAUCGCCUUUAGAGCGGCCCGCGUCUGAUUAGCUAGUUGGGUGAGGUAAUGGCUCACCAAGGCGACGAUCAGUAGCUGGUCUGAGAGGAUGAUCAGCCACAUUGGGACUGAGACACGGCCCAAACUCCUACGGGAGGCAGCAGUGGGGAAUCUUGCGAAAUGGGCGAAAGCCUGACGCAGCCAUGCCGGGUGAAUGAUGAAGGUAUUAGGAUUGUAAAAUUCUUUCAACGGGGACGAUAAUGACGGUACCCGGAGAAGAAGCCCCGGCUAACUUCGUG
rnacentral:rRNA from 1 species